rnacentral:rRNA from 1 species
GUUCUCCCUGACUCCUUGAGAGUCCUGAAGGAACGUUGAAGACGACGACGUUGAUAGGCCGGGUGUGUAAGCGCAGCGAUGCGUUGAGCUAACCGGUACUAAUGAACCGUGAGGCUUAACCUUACAACGCCGAAGGUGUUU